AAGCGGAGGAAAAGAAACUAACUAAGAUUGACAUAGUAAGGGCGACUGAAAUGUCACUAGCUCAGCAUGUGAAUCAGCGUUUGCUUUAGUGAGCGCUGAAUUGUGGUCUUACGGUUGUUGCGCCAAUUCGUCCAGACCAUGUUUUUUGGAAUAAAAUAGCACAGAGGGUGAAACUCCCGUUUGUCUGGUCACACGAAGCAAGAACCACUGAGUCGAGUUGUUUGGGAUUGCAGCUCAAAUGCGGUGGUAAAUUCCAUCUCAAGCUAAAUAUUGGUAGGAAACCGAUAGCGAACAAGUACCGUGAGGGAAAGAUGCAAAGAACUUUGAAAAGAGAGUGAAAGAGUACCUGAAAUUGCUGAAAAGGAAGCGAACGAAGCUAGUGAACGCUCUGUCAUACUUUCCAACUUGCUUGCAAGUCGGACGCUGUGGCGAGCCCAGUUCGAUUUGAUUGCUCCAUGUGAAAGCAGGCAAAGAAAAGACACCCAUUCUCUUUUGCCUUUGGCACGUGCUGUGAUCGAGUUGAACGAAAUAGGUUUGUUUGUCCCGUC
rnacentral:rRNA from 1 species